rnacentral:rRNA from 1 species
GACGAACGCUGGCGGCGUGCCUAAUACAUGCAAGUAGGACGCAGUCGCGAACGGGUGAGUAACGCGUCGGUAACUGCCUAUUAGAGGGGGAUAACUAUUGGAAACGAUAGCUAAUACCGCAUACUAGUAGAUGUACCUGCGUUGUAUUAGCUAGUAGGUAGGGUAAUGGCCUAACUAGGCGACGAUACAUAGCCGAGUGUGGGUGGUGAUCGGCCACACUGGGACUGGGACACGGGCCCGACUCCUCAGGGAGGCAGCAGGAGGGAAUCUUCGGCAAGUGGGGGAACCCUGACCGAGCAACGCCGCGUGAGAGAAGAAGGUCUUCGGAUCGGAAAGCUCUGUUGUUCAGGAAGCGGUACCUAACCAGAAAGGGACGGCUAACUCCGUGCCAGCAGCCGCGGUAAUAC